GGGGGCAUGGCUCAGUAGUAGAGCAUCUGGUUGGUAUGCAGAAGGUCAUAGGGUCAAUCCCAGGCAUCUCCA
rnacentral:tRNA from 1 species